rnacentral:sRNA from 1 species
AGACAUCAGAGGGACCUGGUAGGGCAUCCAUCACCCACUGAUCACUUGGGCAGAUCUGAUCAAUCUGACUGGCUAGGUGAGUGUCCCCUUCCUCUGCUCAUUGCUCCACAUGCACCCCUUCCAGGGUCACACACUCGGUGGAAGAAGAUAACCUUCCCUGAUUGUGGAGGUCCAGUGUGAGAGCAGCCACGCCCCCUCUUAGGACCUCCAAACAAACCCUCAACAUCCAAUCCUCCCGUUCCACAUU